rnacentral:lncRNA from 1 species
GGAGCUAUGGGCUCUGACUCCGCCUCUUUCCAAAUCCGGAGUAGUUCGUGCCACAGUCGUCCUCGGAACCCUGUGGCCCCUUCCUCACCCGUUUCAGGGCCACUUGGUUCCCACCUCCACCUUCUUAGUCUGCCUGCCCUGCUUUCCAUCUUCUUGGAAUUCGCCUUGCUGCCGCCCCGCGCCCACCCCCGCGCCCACCCCUGCCCCUGCACCGUCCCAUGCCCUUAUGGAUUUAUUCUUUACACGUAAAUAUGUCUUUCCUCUUUUUGAAAGGAUUUGGAGUUGGAACAGAGAAAUUCACUAUGGAUGAUGCUAUAUCUUUAUAUGACCUUUGGAAUAUCUGUAAUCAUCCUGAGGGCAAUACUUAUGUAAUGAAGAUGGAAGAAGAGAGAAUAUGAAUACUCCGUGCACUUUGAUCUUAUCGUUUAGCUGCUGAUCAUACCAUCCCUGGAGUCCUACUUCUGACUCCAAGUUAUGAGGUAACAAAUUUCUUUAUAGUUAAAGCAAUUUGAUUCUGGGUUUUCUGUUACUUGCAGUUGAAGGCAUCUUAAAUGGCUUAGCGUUCCCAGACUUAAAUGAUAUAGUAUCCCUAGACAAUACCGUUAUACUUUUAAGUUAUAUGAAACAAUACAUUCUCAGGCACUCAUUCAUACAACCAGCUCCCAAUGUCCCAGUGUUCUCACGUUCCACCUUCAAUCACACUUAACCAAUGUUAAAUCCCUGG